UACAGAGGGUGCGAGCGUUAAUCGGAAUUACUGGGCGUAAAGCGUGCGUAGACGGUAGCGUAAGUCAGAUGUGAAAGCCCCGGGCUCAACCUGGGAACUGCAUUUGAGACUGCUCUGCUCGGGUGCGGAAGAGGGAAGCGGAAUUUCCGGUGUAGCGGUGAAAUGCGUAGAUAUCGGAAGGAACACCAGUGGCGAAAGCGGCUUCCUGGUCCGACACCGACGUCAGCACGAAAAGCGUGGGGGAGCAAACAGGG
rnacentral:rRNA from 1 species